rnacentral:lncRNA from 1 species
ACUUGGCCAGCGCCAUCUUGUCUGAUCCUUACUGUACACGUGGCUGGCCAAGAGAAGAGAAGAUGGAGCGGCCAUUUUGAUCAUGCCUAGUCCCAGAUAGAAAAUAUGGUGACAACAAAAUUUUGACCAUUUAUAAAUAAUAAGUGAACUUCCAAAAAAGAAGGGAAAUGUUUGGAGACCAAAAUUAAGAGAAGCCACAAUGGUUUUGAUAUCAGGAUGAUGCUGGCCUCAUAAAAUGAGUUAGGGAAGAGUACCUCCUUUUCAAUUGUUUGGAAUAGUUUCAGAAGAAAUGGUACCAGCUCCUCUUUGUACCUCUGGUAGAAUUCAGUGUAAAUCUGUCUGGUCCUGGGCUUUUUCUGAAUUUGAUGAUGAUGUAUCUUGGGGAUGCCCUCUCUCACCACUCCUUUCAACAUAGUGGAAGUUCUGGCCAGCACAAUCAGGCUGGACAACAUGAAAAUGUCUGAUAAUACCAAGUAUUGCCAGAGUGUGGACCAAGAAAAACUCUUACAAAUACUAAUAAAACUGUAAACCAUGUGAAAAACAAUUUAA